UGGACCAUUAUGUGAUUGUUCAUGGGAGGAAGCAGCUACUAACCUUGCCUUCACAAUAGAUAGAGUGAAUAAUGACAUUCCUUCGGCUUUUCUCUUGUUGCACAUAUGAAUAAGUCUGCCGUAGGGAAGGCAUGGGGUCCUUACCUAGUAGUUGGACCCUAAUAUGAUUAUAUUCUAUAUUCAACCCCUCAAGGAAGUCAUAGAUUCGUUCCUUUUCAAUCAACUUUUGGAAUUUAAUAACGUCAGCAAUACAGGUGGCUUGAAAAUCUUGGUAAUAGUCUCGUUCCUCCACAAACCACUCAAUUCAGCAAAGUACUGGGCAAUAGUCA
rnacentral:misc_RNA from 1 species